rnacentral:rRNA from 1 species
UUACGGCGGACGGCGUGAUGUGGCCGCAGAGAAUAGAGGGAAGCGACUGUUUACUAAAAACACAGGUCCGUGCGAAGACGGUAAGUCGAUGUAUACGGACUGACGCCUGCCCGGUGCUGGAAGGUUAAGAGGACCUGUUAGGCCGGUUUUGCCGGCCGAAGCGGAGAAUUUAAGCCCCAGUAAACGGCGGUGGUAACUAUAACCAUCCUAAGGUAGCGAAAUUCCUUGUCGGGUAAGUUCCGACCUGCACGAAUGGCGUAACGACUUCCCUGCUGUCUCAACCACAGACCCGGCGAAAUUGCAGUACGAGUAAAGAUGCUCGUUACGCGCGGCAGGACGAAAAGACCCCGGGACCUUCACUAUAGCUUGGUAUUGGUGUUCGGUUCGGUUUGUGUAGGAUAGGUGGGAGACUGUGAAACCUCAACGCCAGUUGGGGUGGAGUCGUUGUUGAAAUACCACUCUGAUCGUAUUGGAUAUCUAACCUCGGCCCGUGAUCCGGGUUGGGGACAGUGCCUGGUGGGUAGUUUAACUGGGGCGGUUGCCUCCCAAAGAGUAACGGAGGCGCCCAAAGGUUCCCUCAGCCUGGUUGGCAAUCAGGUGUUGAGUGUAAGUGCACAAGGGAGCUUGACUGUGAGACUGACAGGUCGAGCAGGUACGAAAGUAGGGACUAGUGAUCCGGCACCGGCUUGUGGAAGCGGUGUCGCUCAACGGAUAAAAGGUACCCCGGGGAUAACAGGCUGAUCUUCCCCAAGAGUCCAUAUCGACGGGAUGGUUUGGCACCUCGAUGUCGGCUCGUCGCAUCCUGGGGCUGGAGUAGGUCCCAAGGGUUGGGCUGUUCGCCCAUUAAAGCGGCACGCGAGCUGGGUUUAGAACGUCGUGAGACAGUUCGGUCUCUAUCCGCCGCGCGCGUAGAAACUUGAGGAAGGCUGUCCCUAGUACGAGAGGACCGGGACGGACGUACCUCUGGUGUGCCAGUUGUUCCGCCAGGGGCAUUGCUGGUUGGCUACGUACGGAAGGGAUAACCGCUGAAAGCAUCUAAGCGGGAAGCCUGUUCCGAGAUCAGGUUUCAUUUGAGGUCCCCCAUAGAUGAUGGGGUUGAUAGGCCGGAACUGUACGCACGGUAACGUGUUCAGGUGACCGGUACUAAUAGGCCGAACGUCAACACACC